GGCCUUUUCUUUUGUUAAGUAUUUUGUUUUUAUUUUAUUUUUUUUUUCCUGUAUUGUUUGAUUGUGUUCAGGUUAGCUGGUCUGGAGGGGACAUUUUGGAGCUGACAAGUGGAUGGGAAAGGACAAUGGAAGUGCAACCAAGUGAGGAGAUCAUUCAGACAGAGAAAUCAAAUGUGUCUAAAAUCCUGGAUGCCUCGUGCUGGCUCCAGCAAUGAGCAUGGACAGCUACACCUGCCCAGUGGUACAGCUAGCUUUGGAUGCACCAUGGCUAAGGUAGCAUACCCCAGUGAAUUUGAUUACUGCCAGUGAGGCUGGAGUUUAUAACUCCUGCAAAACAGAUCAAUUCCAAAAACCAAGAUGACUUCAGGAAGAUAAGAAGGUAGGUGGGAAACAAAUUGUCCUCUAGAUACAAAACCUAAUAUUAAAGUGGAACAUGUACAAUGUCUCAUGAGAGGUGUUUAUAUUAUAGCAGAAGGAGGAAAAGCAAUAAAAUGAACACUUCAGUAGUGUUGAAACA
rnacentral:lncRNA from 1 species